UUUAGGUGCAAGAAUAAAGCUUAAUAAAGGAAGUUGGGUGUAAAUCCCACACAGCGAAAGCUGCUGUAAGGCGGACGAAAUCAUUAUAUGUCACUGGGAAACUGGGAAGGCGUGAGAGUAGGAUGAGGCCAAGUCAGAAGACUUACCAAAUAGAUA
rnacentral:ncRNA from 1 species